GAUGAACGCUGGCGGCGUGCCUAAUACAUGCAAGUCGAGCGAACGGACGAGAAGCUUGCUUCUCUGAUGUUAGCGGCGGACGGGUGAGUAACACGUGGAUAACCUACCUAUAAGACUGGGAUCACUUCGGGAAACCGUAGCUAAUACCGGAUAAUAUUUUGAACCGCAUGGUUCAAAAGUGAAAGACGGUCUUGCUGUCACUUAUAGAUGGAUCCGCGCUGCAUUAGCUAGUUGGUAAGGUAACGGCUUACCAAGGCAACGAUGCAUAGCCGACCUGAGAGGGUGAUCGGCCACACUGGAACUGAGACACGGUCCAGACUCCUACGGGAGGCAGCAGUAGGGAAUCUUACGCAAUGGGCGAAAGCCUGACGGAGCAACGCCGCGUGAGUGAUGAAGGUCUUCGGAUCGUAAAACUCUGUUAUUAGGGAAGAACAUAUGUGUAAGUAACUGUGCACAUCUUGACGGUACCUAAUCAGAAAGCCACGGCUAACUACGUG
rnacentral:rRNA from 1 species